CUCGGUGCCCAUGGCGCGAGGGAAACACCUGUUCCCAUUCCGAACACAGCAGUUAAGCCUCGUAGCGGUUACUGUACUGCCUUUUUAAAGGUGGGAGAAUAGCACGGUGCCGAAU
rnacentral:rRNA from 1 species